UGAGGCCUCCCCUCUGCCUCCUCUGCUCUGGGCUGAGCAAACCAAGGGACCUCAGCUGCUCCUCACACGUCUUCCCCUCCAGAUCCUUCACCUUCGAAGCCCUACAAAGUGGGUAGUGGCAAUGGCCCAAGUGAGACAAAGAUGGGGCAAACCAAGAGGGUCAGGGACCAUUUGCAGGGUAUGACGAGGCAGCAGGGAGGUGCACAGAGGGAGCACUGGGGCUCAUCCCUCUUCAGGUGAAGAGGGAAACGUUCCUCUGGUGGGAAGGGCACGAGAGGAGCUGUGGCACAGUGGCAAUGGGUACCGCUGCUGAGGCUGGAGGAGGAUGAAGAGGAAGGGCUGCUACUGCAUUGCCAGCCCCAGCUCUAUCACCAAACACGAGCACGAGCUGUCACUGGUGUGGAAUGCAGCAGAUGGCCAAAUUGUUAGAUUCUCCCUUCCGAGAGCAAAAUGAUAUACUGUUUUUUAGCAUCCUUGCCUGGAGCUGAGUGCUAGCUUCAGAUACUACGAAGAUAUACUGUACAAAGGCACUUUGUGCCAGCAAUGUGCUCUAGUGAUAAUCAGGAGAAAACUGUGCUUAAAGCGACAUUUAAAAAAAUAAUUAUUAUGGCCUGUUGCUGUUACUCACACAUCCCCAAAGCCGAUCUGGUAACAGAGCUUUCCAAAGUGUUUUUGCCUGACAUGUCAUCUGGAGAUUAUGGAUUCAUGCUGUCGCUGGAUCUCACCUUGCAAUCACCAGGUCUAUGUAUGCACACCAUUUUUUUCCCCUCUUUUGGGGGGAAAGAAAUUAUUUUCUCCUUUCAAUGUUUCUCAUGCCAUUUUGGCUGGUUUUGUGCCAAUUCUUGGCUCAUCCAUUUGCUGGAGAAAACAGGCCUGACUGUCACAGAGCUGGCUAUGAAGGUGGUGGGAUCAUGAUCCCACCUCUCCUUGCAUGGAGCCUCAGCACCUGGAGCAGCUGAGUGCUCUGCGAAACCCGAGCCUGCCUGCAGAUGCUGCAGAGCUCACCCACAUUUUGCUAACUUCAGGUGCUUGAAACUUUAUGUUGAAGGUGCAGGGUUGUUAGCAGUGAGUCAUUAGGGCAGGUGUGCUUUGCCAGCUCCAGCUCUGAGCUGAUGAUAAAGGGGGAGGCUUUCAGAGAGAGCUUUGGUAAUGACCUGAGCAGGAGAGAAAACGCAAAGUGACUUGAAAGUCUGCGUAUUAUUCCUUAUCAAUACAUGCAAAACCCAGGGCAAGGAUCAGUGUUGUCUGCAAUCAAGUGAAUGCUCUGCUUGUAGAAAAGGGCUGUUUUCUUGUUGAUAUCUUUUGCAGUUCACUGGAUAUGUUUUUUUUAAGGACUUCUGGCUGCUGAGUAUAUGGCGUGCUCUCUUCCUGUUAAUCCUUUAAAAUUGGUUGUGGUUUCUUAUUUUUUUAUUUUUUAUGAAAGGGCUUUCAUGGAUUAUCUGUAAGCUUUGUCUCCUAAGGUAUUAGGAUGUCUUAAAUCUUCUUUAAAAUCCACCUUUCCCUUACUACCCAUCUUCAGAAGACUCCUCCUGUGCCACACCUGCUCAUGCUGCAGCAGCCCCUCCUCCCUCUCCUCCUCAUGCUUUCUUCCACCUGGUUUGCUCAGAAGUCUCCUGCUAAACAUCCCACAGCUGUGACGCACCAUCCCAUCUCUCGUAUCCCAACCAUGUCACAUCUCCCUCAGCCUCCAGUGAAACUUCCCUAUCUUCCCCUCGAAGGCCCUCAGUAACUUAUCGUUGAUCUCGCUCCUCCCGCUCCUUUUCCUGUCUGUUUUUCAGUCAUCCCUCCUUCCUACUUAUUUUGUCGUGCUCUUAGAUAGUUCCAUGUUGCUUUCGUCUUCAUGCUCCGCUGACACCUGGGUCUCCAUCUCCAUUUUCCACUAGCCAAACAUUCUCUCCCUCACUCUUUUGGAUCUGACUUGAAUCCCUAUCUUUGUCUCCCCGACUAGCAGUAACACCCUGCAUGCACUCGCGCAGAGGUGCCUGAGCUGCCAUCCCGUGUGAUGUUUCUGGGGUGCAUGUUCUUCAUCCCAGGGAUUUGUGGUUCUCCAGUGGUGCACGCCCCACAGACACAAAUGGGUCUCUUGAAGAGCAGCAGCUGCUGAGCUGGAAGGUCUUGCUCUAGUUGCCAGUCUUCCUGUCCAGUUGUCCCUUCUCCAGCCUGAAAACAAUCUUCUUCAGCCUUUCAAGACUCCUUCCAUCCUACACACAUAUGAGAUGAGAUGUACUUUCUUCCAUCCUGGACCUAAAUUUUAAAUUAAUCGUUAACCUGAACUUUUUCCUCUAAGGUUGCACAGGAAAAUCUACAGUUCAGUCAUGUCUGCUCUCCUGUGGUAAGACAAGGCUUAGAUUUGUUAUAAUCACUAGCAGUAAAUACUGUAUCCAUUUUUAGAGAAUUAUCCAAUCUGCUCAUAUUUCCUGAUCUUUCUUCUCAUUCCUUUGUUAUGAUAUGCAUUCUGCCUCUUAAUUGUUUCCAUGUGAAAUGGCCUCAGUCCGAGCAGUUGCAACGAAUAACGUCCACUUCAAAAUGUCAGCUUUUUGGUUUCAGCAGAUAACCACAGUCUGGUUCCUCUCUGCAUGCAGUAGUGCUCUUUAAGGACAUGUAACGUCUUCUGCAGUCUUGUUAAGUGAAAAACAGUAAAGAACAAACAUCACAGACAAAAGGCAGCUUAGUAAAUGUCAUUUCUACCCGUUGCCAGUAAUCUUGAUCCCAUUUUUGAUUUCUGCACAGCUGUAACAUUUUCCUUGCCUUUCAGUAUAGCUAAAUAGUAUUAGGAACUAACUUAGCAUCCCUCAAAUGGAUUGUGUUAAAAUGUCCUUUGUUAAAUAAGCGGGGUGUCCCUUUUAUGUUUGCAGCAUUGAGGCUGCUUUACUGAAAGCCCCUUCAUCGCUGUGGAAAGCUCUGCUGGUUUUUCUGCAUUUCCCCUGAUGCGCUGAACUGCGAAGUGUGAAGGAGCAUCCUGGAAGAGAAGGAAGCUAAAUAUAUUCUGCUACAAGAUUUCUUCCAUUCCUCUCGCCACCCCCAGAUCCCAGAGACUACAAUGGCUUAUGCAGGGCUUUACAUAUGCAGCAAAUGGCGGGGGAGGAAAAUUCCCACAGAUGAAGAGCUGUAGCCCAGUACCACCACCUCCACCUACAGCACACAGCCUGCAGUGGUGCUGGGGUGGGGUUUGAGGGAAAGCACUCCAAUCCUUGCUUCCAAAGAGAGGUCCUACGCAACUGUAUUUAGGAAAGGAUGCCUGGCUACAGGGAGACCCUUCCCUAUGGCUUUGAUAUAGCCACCUGGACAAGGUGGGGAGGAGGGGAUUUCCUCUUCGACCCCCAUCUUUAGUGCUUCCUUUUCCUUAGCUCUAAGGGACUUGCCAGCCUGUGGGGGUUAUUUUCUUUCCAACCAUUCUUUGGCCACCUACCUAUAAGCAGUCUGUAAGCUAUCCAUAUGCUUACAGGAGCUGAGUGCUGUGUGUGUUCCCUGGGAGGCCAGGAGCCUGAUGACACGCUCUCCAUCUCUUAUGAGAGCAUUGCCUUAUUAGUGUUUAAGGAGCACAACUCCAUGUCAGCGCAAAAGAGCAAACAAGAGUUUCCUCUCAUUUACCCCUGACUUUAUGCUUACAUAAUUCCACUAAUUUCAU